UUAAGCCUAAUAUAUUUUUAAAGGAGGAAGAGGAGGAUGACAACGACGAGGACAAGGAGGAGAAAAAGAAAAUAGGGACUUAUAAGAGGGGACUGGUGCACUGGAUUCUGGAUCUAACAGACAGACACACACACACUGGAUUCUGGACCGAAAGGUUAGAUAUAAGCAAGGUUCCAAUGAAAGCAAAAUUCACUGGGUGAAGGAAAAAGGAAUCCUUGAAGGUGUUGCUUUAAAAAUUGCUUGACAAGGUUGCAGAAAUAGAAAAGUGAACUAGUGUUGAUGAGGAGACAGUUUAAGGCUGCUUGUUAGCAUAUGCCAAAAGCCUCAAUGUGUGCUCAGAGGUCCCAUCAUUAAUUAAUACAAAGCCAAGUGCCAAAGCAGAUGAAGCCGAGUCAGCUUUGAGUUUUCUUGACUCCAAUGGUUGAUCAAAUUACUUCAAACUGAAUUAAAGUUGUC
rnacentral:lncRNA from 1 species